UACGUAGGGGGCAAGCGUUAUCCGGAUUUACUGGGUGUAAAGGGGGCGCAGACGGCGAUGCAAGCCAGGAGUGAAAGCCCGGGGCUCAACCCCGGGACUGCAUUGGGAACUGCCCUGCUGGAGUGCCGGAGGGGCAGGCGGAAUUCCUAGUGUAGCGGUGAAAUGCGUAGAUAUUAGGAGGAACACCAGUGGCGAAGGCGGCCUGCUGGACGGUGACUGACGCUGAGGCUCGAAAGCGUGGGGAGCAAACAGG
rnacentral:rRNA from 1 species